GACGAACGCUGGCGGCGUGCUUAACACAUGCAAGUCGAACGAUGAACCGGGUGCUUGCACUUGGGGAUUAGUGGCGAACGGGUGAGUAACACGUGAGUAACCUGCCCUGGACUCUGGGAUAACCCCGAGAAAUCGGAGCUAAUACCGGAUAGGACCGUUCCCCGCAUGGGGGUUGGUGGAAAGUUUUUCGGUCUGGGAUGGACUCGCGGCCUAUCAGCUUGUUGGUGAGGUAAUGGCUCACCAAGGCGUCGACGGGUAGCCGGCCUGAGAGGGUGACCGGCCACACUGGGACUGAGACACGGCCCAGACUCCUACGGGAGGCAGCAGUGGGGAAUAUUGCACAAUGGGCGCAAGCCUGAUGCAGCAACGCCGCGUGCGGGAUGACGGCCUUCGGGUUGUAAACCGCUUUUAGUAGGGAAGAAGGGCUUCGGCUUGACGGUACCUGCAGAAAAAGGACCGGCUAACUACGUGCCAGCCGCCGCAGUAACAC
rnacentral:rRNA from 1 species